CGCACGAAUAACAACACUAGACCAUGGUCCAAAUAACAACUGGCCCCUCCAAAAUUGUAUACAUAGCCUAAAAAAAAGCCCAAAGGUCCCAUACAAGACUGACCCUAGGCAAGAUGGGUUUAUUACCCGACCAAAGGAUCUGACAAAAUCUUCUUUGCAAUGUCGCCACCAUCUUCAUCUUGUAGAGUCUUCCAGUAACCAGAGAGCUUGUAGUCGGUGAAGACGCCCAACCUGGGCCAAACAAGGAACUCCAGGCAAACUACUGGAAGACAACCGAAGAAGGGAACCAACAAAGCCCAUAAGAACCAAUACCUAAGGAAGACAAAAGACUCAGUAGGGCAUAUUGACAAGGGAGGGGGGUGGUAGAGCGCCAGUCUCUCACUAUCAUAUAGCUUUAACGUCUAAUAUCGGAUCCAUAGCCAACACAAUGACCCAGAGGUGCCACUACCACUACAAACGAAACCCUUCCAUUGAGCUAAGUAGAAGAAACCUAAGAAGCAAAGCACACAUCUUGAGCUACAAGAUAGAUCAACCAAGAAAACACCCUCACUAUCAGCUCCUGAUUUGCAAAAACAACAAUCACCACAAAAACCAUCGAACACCACACUAUUUACACCCCAACCUAUCAGUAGUAGGGUGAACACCACCACCUAGGCUAGGAGAUUGCUCCCCCUACUCUAAGGGGCUGGGGAAGCUCCAAAUCUGAGGCAGCCGAAAACAAGAAAAAGCUCUUCUGAAACAGGAGAGAAAGGAAUUUCUCUUUCUAAAAAAACCUAGAGAGAGACUUAUUUAUUCAGUAACAAUGUUGACACCUGCGGUUUUGCUGUUUGUUUUUCCUCUCUUUUAGAGGUUCAAGGAACACCAGUAUGUACAAUAAG
rnacentral:misc_RNA from 1 species